AAAACCUUGGUCACUGCCAUUAUCAUUGAGCGGCUCUGGGGCUGAGUGGGCUGGCAGCCUGAGGGCUGCCUCGGGGUGGGCCCCAGGUCUCAGAGGCAUGAGGCUGGCCAGCUUUUUGAGAAGUCCCCUCAGUCCACACACCCACUCCUCCAGCUUGUGGAGGACAGGGUGCAGGUUUUAAUGUGGACUCCCAGGUGCCCAUCAAGUGACACACCUCCUGGGGUUUCCCCAGGACCAGUGAGGAGA